rnacentral:rRNA from 1 species
GAUGAACGCUGACAGAAUGCUUAACACAUGCAAGUCAACUUGAACUUCGGUUGGGGUGGCGGACGGGUGAGUAACGCGUAAAGAACUUGCCUCCCAGCUAGGGACAACAUUUGGAAACGAAUGCUAAUACCUGAUAUGAUGAUUAUAUGGCAUCGUAUAAUUAUGAAAGCUAUAUGCGCUGUGAGAGGGCUUUGCGGUCAAUUAGCUAGUUGGAGAGGUAGCAGAUCACAAAGGCGAUGAUGGGUAGCCAGCCUGGGAGGGUGACCCGCCACAGGGGGACUGGGACAGGGCCCGUACUCAUUCGGGAGGCAGCGGCGGAGAAUAUUGGACAAUGGACCGAGAGUCUGAUCCAGCUAUUCUGUGUGCAAGAUGAAGUUUUUCGGAAUGAAAAGUGCUUUCAGUUGGGAAGAAAAAAAUGACGGUACCAAAAGAAGAAGUGACGGCUAACUACGUG